rnacentral:rRNA from 1 species
CAGUCGCCACGGGAAUACGCAGGUGGCGAGCGUUGUCCGGAAUUAUUGGGCGUAAAGGGCGUGUAGGCGGCCUGGGGCGUCCCAUGUGAAAGGCCACGGCUCAACCGUGGAGGAGCGUGGGAUACGCUCAGGCUAGAGGGUGGGAGAGGGUGGUGGAAUUCCCGGAGUAGCGGUGAAAUGCGUAGAGAUGUGGAGGAAUACCGAUGGCGAAGGCGACUCUCUGGUCUGUAACUGACGCUGAGGAGCGAAAGCGUGGGGAGCGAACAGGAUUAGAGACCCCCGUAGUCCCUGUCUCUUAUAC